GGUUAAGCGACUAAGCGUACACGGUGGAUGCCCUGGCAGUCAGAGGCGAUGAAGGACGUGCUAAUCUGCGAAAAGCGUCGGUAAGGUGAUAUGAACCGUUACAGCCGGCGAUGUCCGAAUGGGGAAACCCAGUGUGAUUCGUCACACUAUCGUUAACUGAAUACAUAGGUUAACGAGGCGAACCGGGGGAACUGAAACAUCUAAGUACCCCGAGGAAAAGAAAUCAACCGAGAUUCCCCCAGUAGCGGCGAGCGAACGGGGAGCAGCCCAGAGUCUGAAUCAGCUUGUGUGUUAGUGGAACGGUCUGGAAAGUCCGACGGUACAGGGUGAUAGUCCCGUACACCAAAAUGCACAGGCUGUGAACUCGAAGAGUAGGGCGGGACACGUGGUAUCCUGUCUGAAUAUGGGGGGACCAUCCUCCAAGGCUAAAUACUCCUGACUGACCGAUAGUGAACCAGUACCGUGAGGGAAAGGCGAAAAGAACCCCGGCGAGGGGAGUGAAAAAGAACCUGAAACCGUGUACGUACAAGCAGUGGGAGCACCUUCGGGUGUGACUGCGUACCUUUUGUAUAAUGGGUCAGCGACUUAUAUUCUGUAGCAAGGUUAACCGUAUAGGGGAGCCGCAGGGAAACCGAGUCUUAACUGGGCGUUAAGUUGCAGGGUAUAGACCCGAAACCCGGUGAUCUAGCCAUGGGCAGGUUGAAGGUUGGGUAACACUAACUGGAGGACCGAACCGACUAAUGUUGAAAAAUUAGCGGAUGACUUGUGGCUGGGGGUGAAAGGCCAAUCAAACCGGGAGAUAGCUGGUUCUCCCCGAAAGCUAUUUAGGUAGCGCCUCGUGAAUUCAUCUUCGGGGGUAGAGCACUGUUUCGGCUAGGGGGUCAUCCCGACUUACCAACCCGAUGCAAACUACGAAUACCGAAGAAUGUUAUCACGGGAGACACACGGCGGGUGCUAACGUCCGUCGUGAAGAGGGAAACAACCCAGACCGCCAGCUAAGGUCCCAAAGUCAUGGUUAAGUGGGAAACGAUGUGGGAAGGCACAGACAGCCAGGAUGUUGGCUUAGAAGCAGCCAUCAUUUAAAGAAAGCGUAAUAGCUCACUGGUCGAGUCGGCCUGCGCGGAAGAUGUAACGGGGCUAAACCAUGCACCGAAGCUGCGGCAGCGACACUAUGUGUUGUUGGGUAGGGGAGCGUUCUGUAAGCCUGCGAAGGUGACCUGUGAGGGUUGCUGGAGGUAUCAGAAGUGCGAAUGCUGACAUAAGUAACGAUAAAGCGGGUGAAAAGCCCGCUCGCCGGAAGACCAAGGGUUCCUGUCCAACGUUAAUCGGGGCAGGGUGAGUCGACCCCUAAGGCGAGGCCGAAAGGCGUAGUCGAUGGGAAACAGGUUAAUAUUCCUGUACUUGGUGUUACUGCGAAGGGGGGACGGAGAAGGCUAUGUUAGCCGGGCGACGGUUGUCCCGGUUUAAGCAUGUAGGCUGGUUAUCCAGGCAAAUCCGGAUAAUCAAGGCUGAGGUGUGAUGACGAGGCACUACGGUGCUGAAGUAACAAAUGCCCUGCUUCCAGGAAAAGCCUCUAAGCAUCAGGUAACAUUAAAUCGUACCCCAAACCGACACAGGUGGUCAGGUAGAGAAUACCAAGGCGCUUGAGAGAACUCGGGUGAAGGAACUAGGCAAAAUGGUGCCGUAACUUCGGGAGAAGGCACGCUGGUGUGUAGGUGAAGUCCCUGCGGAUGGAGCUGAGACCAGUCGAAGAUACCAGCUGGCUGCAACUGUUUAUUAAAAACACAGCACUGUGCAAACACGAAAGUGGACGUAUACGGUGUGACGCCUGCCCGGUGCCGGAAGGUUAAUUGAUGGGGUUAUCCGUAAGGAGAAGCUCUUGAUCGAAGCCCCGGUAAACGGCGGCCGUAACUAUAACGGUCCUAAGGUAGCGAAAUUCCUUGUCGGGUAAGUUCCGACCUGCACGAAUGGCGUAAUGAUGGCCAGGCUGUCUCCACCCGAGACUCAGUGAAAUUGAACUCGCUGUGAAGAUGCAGUGUACCCGCGGCAAGACGGAAAGACCCCGUGAACCUUUACUAUAGCUUGACACUGAACAUUGAGCCUUGAUGUGUAGGAUAGGUGGGAGGCUUUGAAGCGUGGACGCCAGUCUGCGUGGAGCCAACCUUGAAAUACCACCCUUUAAUGUUUGAUGUUCUAACGUUGGCCCCUUACCGGGGUUGCGGACAGUGUCUGGUGGGUAGUUUGACUGGGGCGGUCUCCUCCCAAAGCGUAACGGAGGAGCACGAAGGUUAGCUAAUCCUGGUCGGACAUCAGGAGGUUAGUGCAAUGGCAUAAGCUAGCUUGACUGCGAGCGUGACGGCGCGAGCAGGUGCGAAAGCAGGUCAUAGUGAUCCGGUGGUUCUGAAUGGAAGGGCCAUCGCUCAACGGAUAAAAGGUACUCCGGGGAUAACAGGCUGAUACCGCCCAAGAGUUCAUAUCGACGGCGGUGUUUGGCACCUCGAUGUCGGCUCAUCACAUCCUGGGGCUGAAGUAGGUCCCAAGGGUAUGGCUGUUCGCCAUUUAAAGUGGUACGCGAGCUGGGUUUAGAACGUCGUGAGACAGUUCGGUCCCUAUCUGCCGUGGGCGCUGGAGAAUUGAGGGGGGCUGCUCCUAGUACGAGAGGACCGGAGUGGACGCAUCACUGGUGUUCGGGUUGUCAUGCCAAUGGCACUGCCCGGUAGCUAAAUGCGGAAGAGAUAAGUGCUGAAAGCAUCUAAGCACGAAACUUGCCCCGAGAUGAGUUCUCCCUGAGACUUUAAGUCUCCUGAAGGAACGUUAAAGACGAUGACGUUGAUAGGCCGGGUGUGUAAGCGCAGCGAUGCGUUGAGCUAACCGGUACUAAUGAACCGUGAGGCUUAACCUU
rnacentral:rRNA from 1 species